rnacentral:rRNA from 1 species
AUCCCAAAUUUUUCCCAGGGAGGGAACCCAGUUAAUUCCAAUUUGGCGAAAUUUUAAUUUCUUGUAGCCUUCAAAACUUUUUUAAUGCAAGAGUUUGAUCAUUGUCUCAUGACUGGACGCCGGCGGCCAGGCCUUACCACAUGCAUAUCCAACCGGUUAACAAGGAAACAACCUGCUUCUUCCCUGACCAAAUGGCCGGGCCGGGUGAGUAAUUUCUGUGAAAACUGCCUGAAGGAGGGGGGAUAACUACUGGAAAUCGGGUAGCUAAUUCCGCAUUACCUUGCAAAAACCAAAAGAGGGGGGACCGUCGGGCCCUCUUGCCAUCGAAUGUGCCCAGAUGGGAUUAGCUUGUAGGAGGGGUAACGGCUCACCUAGGCGUCGAUCCCUAGCUAAUCUGAGAGGAUGACCAGCCUCAUUGGAAAUGAGCCACGGUCCAGAGUCCUACGGGAGGCAGCAGUGGGGAAUAUUGCACAACGGGCGCAAGCAUUAUGCAGCCAUGCCGCGCGUAAGAAGAAGGCCUUCGGGUAGUAAAGUACUUUCAGCGGGUAGGAAGGGAGUAAAGUUAAUACCUUUGCUCAUUGACGUUACCCACAGAAGAAGCACCGGCUAACUCCGUGCCAGCAGCCGCGGUAAUAUGGAGGGUGCAAGCGUUAUUUUGAAUUAUUGGGCGUAAAGCGCACGCAGGCGGUUUGUUAAGUCAGAUGUGAAAUCCCCGGGCUCAACCUGGGAACUGCAUCUGAUACUGGCAAGCUUGAGUGUCGUGGAGGGGGGUAGAAUUCCAGGUGUAGCGGUGAAAUGCGUAGAGAUUUGGAGGAAUCCCGGUGGCGAAGGCGGCCCCCUGGACGAAGACUGACGCUCAGGUGCGAAAGCGUGGGGAGCACACCGGAUUAGAUUCCCUGGGAGUCCACCCCGUCAUCUUAAAAGACUUGGAGGUUG